GGGUAACGGGGAAUUAGGGUUCGAUUCCGGAGAGGGAGCCUGAGAAACGGCUACCACAUCCAAGGAAGGCAGCAGGCGCGCAAAUUACCCAAUCCCGACACGGGGAGGUAGUGACAAUAAAUAACAACACAGGGCUCUUUUGGGUCUUGUUAUUGGAAUGAGUACGAUUUAAAUCUCCUAACGAGGAACAAUUGGAGGGCAAGUCUGGUGCCAGCAGCCGCGGUAAUUCCAGCUCCAAUAGCGUAUAUUAAAGUUGCUGCAGUUAAAAAGCUCGUAGUUGAAUUUCGGGACCAUCAUGUUGGUCGUGCCUCGGUACGUACUGGCAUUGUUGGUUUCUCCCUUCUGACGAACCAUGAUGUCAUUUAUUUGGUGUUGUGGGGAAUCAGGACUGUUACUUUGAAAAAAUUAGAGUGUUUAAAGCAGGCUCACGCUUGAAUACAUUAGCAUGGAAUAAUGAAAUAGGACGUUUGAUUCUAUUUUGUUGGUUUCUAGGAUCGACGUAAUGAUUAAUAGGGAUAGUUGGGGGCAUUAGUAUUCAAUUGUCAGAGGUGAAAUUCUUGGAUUUAUUGGAGACUAACUACUGCGAAAGCAUUUGCCAAGGAUGUUUUCAUUAAUCAAGAACGAAAGUUAGGGGAUCGAAGACGAUCAGAUACC
rnacentral:rRNA from 1 species